CUACGGGGCGCAGCAGUCGAGAAUCUUCGGCAAUGGACGAAAGUCUGACCGAGCGACGCCGCGUGCGGGAUGAAGGCCUUCGGGUUGUAAACCGCUGUCAGAGGGGAUGAAAUUUUGACAAAUCCUCAGAGGAAGGACGGGCUAAGUUCGUGCCAGCAGCCGCGGUAAGACGAACCGUCCAAACGUUAUUCGGAAUCACUGGGCUUAAAGGGUGCGUAGGCGGCUUGGUAAGUUGGGUGUGAAAUCCCUCGGCUCAACCGAGGAACUGCGCUCAAAACUACCAAGCUUGAGGGAGUCAGAGGUGAGCGGAACUCAGGGUGGAGCGGUGAAAUGCGUUGAUAUCCUGGGGAACACCGGUUGCGAAAGCUGCUCACUGGGGCUCUACUGACGCUGAGGCACGAAAGCUAGGGGAGCCAACGGGAUUAGAUACCCCAGUAGUC
rnacentral:rRNA from 1 species